CCGAGAGCUGAGCCCAGGAGAGCCCUCCACGUCAGUUGUUGCUGACACUAACUGACCCCACUCUGACCAGUCUCACAACAACGCUGCUUUCCAAGCACCAAUCGGAGUCAACCAAAAAGGAGAUGAUGAACUGGCAGAAUGUCUCUCCGCUGUCAGAGAUAGAAAGCAGAGACCGAUCCUACGUCCAGGCUCAGUGACCACAAACAACUGGAAAUGUAAGACACAAAAAAAGGACAACAGAAUAUGUGGUCAGUGUUGGACAGUAGAUGCCGUGAUGUUUUAAUCUGGAUCAAAGUGGUGGAGUGACCAACCGACAUCGGCAUCUCUGAAGCCAAGCAGCAUCUGAGUGAACACCGUGCAGAUUUCACUUCACAACAUAGUCCAAAAAAGGAGAAAAACAUGAACUAAACUGAUAAAUAAUCAGAUCUGUGUCAGUUUGUGACGAGCAUCAUCACAGCAGGUCUGUCACCACGGUGCAGGAAGUAGCCGAUGAACAAGCCUGGGCAUGUUGGCUGACCCUGCUGCACAUCUAAGGAUCCAGAGGAAUCAGAGUUGUGUGUGUGGGUGGGCCGACUGUGGAGGAGACGGUGCAGAGGUUCAUCUAUAUAGCUGUCGGUGAUUCGUCGCGUAGGUUUACGGAGGGAUGGCUGGAGGGAAGAAGAGGCAGAGGCGGGUUAAGUUACACAGCCUUAAAUCAUGUUAGCAUGUUUGGUUUUUACACGGAUGCUUCUGUGACAUCAGGUCUUAAUUUUUCAUCGGUACACACACACACACACACACACACACACACACACACACACACACACACACACACACACACACACACACACACACACACACACACACACACACUGAUGCGUUACAGGGGAGGUACUGUAGAUGAUGAGGCCAUCAGCUGUAGGAAGGUCAGAACACCUUCUGACCAACGUCCGAAUCGCUGAGAGCAGAAGUCAAAGAAGACCAUUACAAAAGUCCGUUCCAUUUUUCACAUUUUAAAACCUAUAACUUUUUGCAAUUUAAGCAUAUUUAAGUCACUUGGAUGUGGAAAAUAAAAAGUCCUAAUAGUGAAGAAGGGUUUAGCCUCACUGCAAGGUGACACCCUCAGACACCUUCAGAUAAUUUGAGGAAGAAAAAAAAAACCAAAAAGGAAUAAAAUAUUAUGUUUAAUAAGUAACAUUUGUAAUUUUAUUUUUUAAAAUGUAAACAUUUAUCCAAAUACUGGCAUAUUGUCAUUAAGAACAAAUAAAAAAAACAAAUGUGA